rnacentral:rRNA from 1 species
ACUCAAAUGAAUUGACGGGGACCCGCACAAGCGGUGGAGCAUGUGGUUUAAUUCGAUGCAACGCGAAGAACCUUACCACUCCUUGACAUCCUGAUUAAGACUAGCGGAAACGUUAGAGUCGGUUCGGCCGGAUCAGUGACAGGUGUUGCAUGGCUGUCGUCAGCUCGUGUCGUGAGAUGUUGGGUUAAGUCCCGCAACGAGCGCAACCCUCGCCCUUAGUUGCCAGCGGGUCAUGCCGGGGACUCUAAGGGAACUGCCUGCGGUAAGCAGGAGGAAGGCGGGGAUGACGUCAAGUCAUCAUGGCCCUUACGGAGUGGGCUACACACGUGCUACAAUGGCGGUGACAAUGGGUUGCUAGUCCGCGAGGACAUGCUAAUCUCUAAAAGCCGCCUCAGUUCGGAUUGUAGUCUGCAACUCGACUACAUGAAGUCGGAAUCGCUAGUAAUCGUGGAUCAGCAUGCCACGGUGAAUACGUUCCCGGGUCUUGUACACACCGCCCGU